rnacentral:rRNA from 1 species
UUCCGGUUGAUCCCGCCGGACCCGACUGCUAUCAGAGUGGGACUAAGCCAUGCGAGUCGACGUAGCAAUGCGUGGCGAACGGCUCAGUAACACGUAGUCAACAUGCCCAGGGGACGUGGAUAACCUCGGGAAACUGAGAAUAAACCACGAUAGGUCACGAUUUCUGGAAUGGAUCAUGGCCUAAAUCUACAUGGCCCCUGGAUUGGACUGCGGCCGAUCAGGCAGUUGGUGAGGUAAUGGCCCACCAAACCUAUAACCGGUACGGGCUCUGAGAGGAGAAGCCCGGAGAUGGGCACUGAGACAAGGGCCCAGGCCCUAUGGGGCGCAGCAGGCGCGAAACCUCUGCAAUAGGCGAAAGCCUGACAGGGUUACUCUGAGUGAUUUCCGCUAAGGGGAUCUUUUGGCACCUCUAAAAAUGGUGCAGAAUAAGGGGUGGGCAAGUCUGGUGUCAGCCGCCGCGGUAAUACCAGCACCCCGAGUGGUCGGGACGAUUAUUGGGCCUAAAGCAUCCGUAGCCGGUUCUGCAAGUCUUCCGUUAAAUCCAGCCGCUCAACGGAUGGGCCGCGGAGGAUACUACAGGACUAGGAGGCGGGAGAGGCAAGCGGUACUCAGUGGGUAGGGGUAAAAUCCUUUGAUCCAUUGAAGACCACCAGUGGCGAAGGCGGCUUGCCAGAACGCGCUCGACGGUGAGGGAUGAAAGCUGGGGAAGCAAACCGGAUUAGAUACCCGGGUAGUCCCAG